rnacentral:lncRNA from 1 species
GUUUCUGUUGUCAGAGAGACAUUCUUUCAGUUCAAAGCUUUUCCUUGUUAGGAAUCUCCAGUCAGAAUGCAAACACCCCGGAGUAGUUAGCGCUCAUGGAGGAUCAGUACUUCAAGCUAUGUCACUUUAUCACACUGUUGAACUCAGUUUCACAAACAGGUAGUGGGAGGGGCAGGGAGAGAUGAGCAUCGUCAGCCGCUGCGGUGGUUUGGAGCACAGUUUCUGGAGCCCAGGAGUGUGGGCUCGAAGCCUGGCUCUGCUGGGCUGUCUGGCCUUGGGCAACUCCCUGAGCUUCUCAGUUCCUUCACCUUUAGAAUGGGGAUAACGGGCCUGGCCUGGUGGUCCAUGCCUAUAAUCCCAGCACUUUGGGUUUCUCCUUGGCUCCUACAUCCCCUCUCGGCUGCACUUAAUGAUUUCCCAGAUUCUUACAGACCACUGGGAUCGCUUCCUUCAGAGUGUUUCGGGAAGCCCAGCACGCCCCAGCUUUCUCCCCAAGGGGCAGGCUGCUCUCAGGAGUGGGAAGCCCAUCUCCACCUUCAUCCCUCUGGCCCAGAGGAGGCUUCCUUCCCUGGAGGGCUGAGGCAGCAGGCAGCUGGGUCAGCCCACGCCUCUCGCAUGUAGCCAUCUGAAUCAUUUCCUUUCGCAAUGUGUUACUCAGUUUCAGGGCCUGCCACGUGGGGGUGUUUCCAUUCCUUUCUGCAGCUGCACUUGGUGGACGUGGGGAACGUGGCAGUUGUGCCUUUCUCUGGACAGCAGAGGACCUCCCUGAACCCCAAACACCUAAGUCCUCAUCACCUCCGUUUCUUUUCUAUAAAAUGGAGGUGAUGACACUUGAUUUGUCUAACACUUUCUUAGUUGUAAGACAAACAAGAUGACCCAAGUGAAGGGGCUGAGUAGACUCCAAAGCAGUGCCUCUCAGUUGAGGGCUGGGAGUUGAUUCUGCCCUCUCGGGGACAUUGGUUGUCACUCCUGGGGGAGGGAGCUGCUGCGUCUAGAAGGUAGAGCCAGGGAUGCUGCUAAACAUCUUAUAACACACAAGACAGCCCCUACAACAAAGCAUUAGCCAGCGCCAAAUGGCAAUCACGCAGAGGUGGAGAAACCAGUCUAAAGAAUGAUUGAAAAGUAGUAACAUUUACGAUGGCCGGGUGCGGUGGCUCACACCUGUAACCCCAGCACUUUGGGAGGCCGAGGCAGGCAGAUCACCUG